rfam:Hymenolepis microstoma genomic scaffold, pathogens_HYM_scaffold_0004
AAGUGCUCUGAUUGUCCAUUCGCAUUUCUUGAGGUUUUAGAAUGCGUGUUUGUCACUGCUUCUCAAGAUGUGUGCAUGGACAUCGUAGUACUU